rnacentral:rRNA from 1 species
AGAGUUUGAUCAUGGCUCAGAAUGAACGCUGGCGGCGUGCUUUACACAUGCAAGUCGAGCGAGGCGGGUAGCAAUACCCAGUCGAGCGGCGAACGGGUGAGUAACGCGUGGAUUAUCUACCCUGAGGUGGGGGAUAACCCGGCGAAAGCCGGGCUAAUACCGCAUAACAUCGAAAGAUCAAAGGGGGAGCAAUCUCCCGCCAUUGGAGGAGUCCGCGUCCGAUUAGCUAGUUGGUAGGGUAAUGGCCUACCAAGGCGACGAUCGGUAGCCGGCCUGAGAGGGUGAUCGGCCACACUGGAACUGAGACACGGUCCAGACUCCUACGGGAGGCAGCAGUGGGGAAUUUUGCGCAAUGGGCGAAAGCCUGACGCAGCAACGCCGCGUGGAGGAUGACGGUCCUUGGAUCGUAAACUCCUGUCAGCAGGGAAAAAGGGGACCGGGCUCAUACCCCGGUUCAUUGAUUGUACCUGCAGAGGAAGCCCCGGCUAACUCUGUGCCAGCAGCCGCGGUAAUACAGAGGGGGCAAGCGUUAUUCGGAAUUAUUGGGCGUAAAGGGCGCGUAGGCGGCUCGACAAGUGGAAGGUGAAAUCCCUCGGCUUAACCGAGGAACUGCCCUCCAAACUGUUUUGCUUGAGGCCGGGAGAGGUGAGUGGAAUUCCCAGUGUAGCGGUGAAAUGCGUAGAUAUUGGGAGGAACACCAGUGGCGAAGGCGGCUCACUGGACCGGUUCUGACGCUGAGGCGCGAAAGCGUGGGGAGCAAACGGGAUUAGAUACCCCGGUAGUCCACGCCGUAAACGAUGAGAACUAGGUGUUGUGGGUGUUGA